AUGCUAGCUACCCUUGUUGAGCGGGCUAAGCUGGAUGGUCAAAUUAGUGGGGUCAUUCCACACUUGGUAGAAGAUGGUCUAUCCAUCCUACAAUAUGCGGAUGACACGAUACUUUUUAUGGAUCAUGAUUUAGAUAAGUCAAGAAAUCUUAAACUGCUCUUAUGUGCUUUUGAGGAACUUUCUGGUCUCAAAAUUAAUUUUCAUAAGAGCGAACUUUUUUGCUUUGGCGAGGCUGCAGAAUCAGCACCCGAGUAUGCCGACAUUUUUGGAUGCCAGCUUGGGCAAUUUCUGAUUCGGUAUCUGGGUAUCCCCAUACACUAUCGGCGUCUAACUAUUGCUGAGUGGAGGCAUGUGGAAGAGAGACUUGAGAAACGUUUAGCCAGUUGGAAGACCAAACUCUUGUUGUAUGGGGGGCGAUUGAUCUUGAUCAAUUCUGUCCUAAGCAACAUGGUUUCAUAUAUGUUGUCCUUCUUCCACCUGCCGAAAGGGGUUCUACAGCGGCUCGAUUACUUUAGAUCCAGAUUUUUUUGGCAGUGUGAUAACGAAACUAAGAAAUAUCGACUGGCUAGGUGGAGCGUAUUAUGCAGACCUAAAAGUCAAGGGGGCCUGGGAAUCCAAGACCUUAAGAUUAAAAACACCGCUCUUAUCAGCAAGUAG
rnacentral:rRNA from 1 species